rnacentral:lncRNA from 1 species
CCAACUACAGAAGCAACUUGUGCUUUUAUUUCAGGUUUUCUUUGUCCUGUUUUGCCUACAGCAACUUGACUUUCAAGAUCAUUCCCUUUUUGGAUCGUCAUGACUCGUUCCUUGCUCUAGUUUUUUCAUGCCGUAUAAACAUUGCUGGGCCACAGAGCUUUGGAAGGUAUGGAGAAUGGAUUGCGACAAGGUCGUCAUGACUCGUUCCUUGCUCUACUUUUUUCAUGCCGUAUAAAAAUUAUUGGGCCACAGAGCUUUGGAAGGUAUGGAGAACGCAUUGCUACAAAUCUAAAUUCGUGGGGCCUGUUAUGCACUUUUCCAUCAGAAGGAAGUCACUUGACAUUUGGAAGAGAUAGGAUGUUAUUAUUUAAGCUAUCCCCUAUUUCUGAACCCAAAAUGGGAAAGAGAACCAAAUGUUCUUGAAUUUUUCGGCUAAAGCGUCACAGCAUUGUUUUAUUCUGUAGACAGUCUGCGGAGCGUGUGAAUAUAAGAGAUGGUUAGAGCCUCGGGAAACCACACCAUCAAUCUUUCUAUCGAGUUUCUGUCUUUUGGUUUCUCUUGUGCAUAAAUUAUUAGUAUUUGGAUGUUCAAGCCUUUGGCAUCGUAAAAAAGGCUAGUUGAUCGUCUAUUGAACUUUUGGUUGCACUCAAAUAAAAAGGAAAGAUAGACAAUAAUGCUU